rnacentral:piRNA from 1 species
UGGAAUACUCCUUUGUUGAUGGCUUAGUCC